AUUGAACGCUGGCGGCAUGCCUUACACAUGCAAGUCGGACGAGUGGCGGACGGGUGAGUAAUAUAUCGGAACGUACCGAGUAAUGGGGGAUAACUAAUCGAAAGAUUAGCUAAUACCGCAUAUUAUUCGAUCGGCCGAGAUCGGAUUAGCGAGUUGGUGGGGUAAAGGCCCACCAAGGCGACGAUCAGUAGCGGGUCUGAGAGGAUGAUCAGCCACACUGGAACUGAGACACGGCCCAGACUCCUACGGGAGGCAGCAGUGGGGAAUUUUGGACAAUGGGCGCAAGCCUGAUCCAGCCAUGCCGCGUGUCUGAAGAAGGCCUUCGGGUUGUAAAGGACUUUUGGCAGGGAAGCGGUACCUGAAGAAUAAGCACCGGCUAACUACGUGCCAGCAGCCGCGGUAAUAC
rnacentral:rRNA from 1 species